rnacentral:hammerhead_ribozyme from 1 species
AUCCAUCUGACGAAUCCCAAAUAGGACGAAGUGCGUAUCCUAAAU